UGAAUACGAGACGCUACGGCGUCGAAGCAGUCUAUGUCAUACUUCCAAGAAAAGCUCGCAAUGUCAUAAACAAAUAAUGCCUGUACCAUAACCGACACAGGUGGGUAGGUAGAGUAUACUAAGGGGCGCGAGAUAACUCUCUCUAAGGAACUCGGCAAAAUGACUCCGUAACUUUGGGAGAAGGAGUGCCUUAUUUAUAAGGUUGCAAUAACAAGAUCCAAGCAACUGUUUAUCAAAAACACAGGUCUCCGCUAAGUCGUAAGACGAUGUAUGGGGGCUGACGCCUGCCCAGUGCCAGAAGGUUAAAGAAGUUGGUUAGCAUUCGCGAAGCUGAUAACUGAAGCCCUGGUGAACGGCGGCCGUAACUAUAACGGUCCUAAGGUAGCGAAAUUCCUUGUCGGGUAAGUUCCGACCCGCACGAAAGGCGUAAUGAUUUGGAUACUGUCUCGGAGAGGGGCUCGGUGAAAUAGACUUGUCUGUGAAGAUGCGGACUACCUGCACCUGGACAGAAAGACCCUAUGAAGCUUUACUGUAACUUGAAAUUGAAAUUGGACUUUAUUUGCGCAGCAUAGGUGGGAGGCGUUGAGAGUAUUCUUGCGGGAAUAUUGGAGCCAUCAGUGAGAUACCACUCUUGUAAUGUUAGAUUUCUAACUUUGGAUCAUUAUCUGGUCAAAGAACAGUUUCAGGCGGGCAGUUUGACUGGGGCGGUCGCCUCCCAAAUGGUAACGGAGGCGUACAAAGGUUUCCUCUGAACGGGUAGAAAUCGUAUCUAGAGUGUAAAGGCAUAAGGAAGCUUGACUGUGAGACCUACAAGUCGAGCAGGGACGAAAGUCGGUCUUAGUGAUCUGACGGUGCUGAGUGGAAAGGCCGUCACUCAACGGAUAAAAGUUACUCUAAGGAUAACAGGCUGAUCUCCCCCAAGAGUUCACAUCGACGGGGAGGUUUGGCACCUCGAUGUCGGCUCAUCGCAUCCUGGGGCGGUAGUACGUCCCAAGGGUUGGGCUGUUCGCCAUGAAAGCGGUACGCGAGCUGGGUUCGGAACGUCGUGAGACAGUUCGGUCCAUAUCCGGUGUAGGCGUUAGAAUAUUGAGAGGAGCCUUCUUUAGUACGAGAGGACCGAGAAGGACAUACCUCUGGUGUACCAGUUAUCGUGCCAACGGUAAACGCUGGGUAGCUAUGUAUGGAGAGGAUAACCGCUGAAAGCAUCUAAGUGGGAAGCCCACCUCAAGAUAAGUAUUCU
rnacentral:rRNA from 1 species